GUGCUCGCUUCCACAGCACAUAGACUAAAAUGGGAACGAUACAGAGAAGAUUAGCAUGAGCCCUGCACAAGGAUGACAUUCAAAUUCAUGAAACGUUCCUUUUUUUU